rnacentral:rRNA from 1 species
AAACAUAUCUGGGGGGAUAUAUUUUUGGUGUAACCUGCUCAAUGCAGUAAAUAGCUGCAGUAUUUUGACUGUACAAAGGUAGCAUAAUCACUAGUUUCUUGAUUAGAGGCUUGUAUGAAUGGUUGAACAGAAUGUUUUUUAUUACAAGUUAAAUUAGAAUUUAUGUAAAAAUACAUAAAUAUAUAAAAGGGACGAUAAGACCCUAUAGAAUUUAAAAGUAAGAUUUUUUGUUGGGGUGACGGUAAAAACUACUUAUUCAUAUUAGUGAUUACUGAUCCUAAAGAUAGUAAGAUAAAAUUACCUUAGGGAUAACAGCAUAAUUUUUUUAGGAAGAUCAAAUUCAUAAAAAAGAUUAUGACCUCGAUGUUGAAUUAUAAAUUUUUGGUGCAGAAGUAAAUUU